rnacentral:rRNA from 1 species
UACGUAGGGACCGAGCGUUGUCCGGAAUCAUUGGGCGUAAAGAGCGUGUAGGCGGCCACUUAAGUCCUGCGUGAAAUCUUGCGGCUCAACCGCAAGCGGUCGUGGGAAACUGGGUGGCUAGAGUGCGGGAGAGGAGAGUGGAAUUCCUGGUGUAGCGGUGGAAUGCGCAGAUAUCAGGAAGAACACCCGUGGCGAAGGCGGCUCUCUGGAACGCAACUGACGCUGAGACGCGAAAGCAUGGGGAGCGAGCAGG